rnacentral:misc_RNA from 1 species
UCAGCGGGUAACCCCACCCGAUCCGAGGCCUUGUUCGGUUUAUUUGGCGGCCGCUCCAGCAGGGCUCCGGGCGCGCGGCGCUGAGGCUCGUUGCGCACGGUGCCAAGGGAGGGCGUCCCUGACUUCAGGGCGGGCCCGCCGUAGAGGGAGGACACCGCCCAACUGCAGGCCUAUAGCCUGAGGUGUGUUUCAAUGGCGCUCGGACGGGCGUGCCCCCCGGAGACCGGGGGGCGCAAUAUGCGUUCAAAAAUUCGAUGGUUCACUGGGAUCUGCAAUUCACACUACGUAUCGCAUUUCGCUGCGUUCUUCAUCGACGCCAGAGCCA